CCUACGGGAGGCAGCAGUGAGGAAUAUUGGUCAAUGGGCGCGAGCCUGAACCAGCCAAGUCGCGUGAGGGAGGACGGCCCUACGGGUUGUAAACCUCUUUUGCCGGGGAGCAACGGGCGUCACGUGUGGCGCCACUGAGUGUACCCGGAGAAAAAGCAUCGGCUAACUCCGUGCAAGCAGCCGCGGUAAUACGGAGGAUGCGAGCGUUAUCCGGUUUUAUUGGGUUUAAGGGGUGCGUAGGCGGAUCGUUAAGCCAGUGGUCAAAUUGAGGGGCUCAACCCCUUCCCGCCAUUGAAACUGGCGUUCUUGAGUGGGCGAGAGGUAUGCGGAAUGCGUGGUGUAGCGGUGAAAUGCAUAGAUAUCACGCAGAACUCCGAUUGCGAAGGCAGCAUACCGGCGCCCAACUGACGCUGAAGCACGAAAGCGUGGGUAUCGAACAGGAUUAGAUACCCUUGUAGUC
rnacentral:rRNA from 1 species